UACGUAGGAGGCAAGCGUUUGUCCGGAAUUACUGGGCGUAAAGCGCGUGUAGGUGGUGGGACAAGUCUGCUGUGAAAGCGCCUGGCUUAACCGGGCGAGGUCGGCGGAAACUGUCCGACUAGAGGACGGUAGAGGGGGUGGAAUUCCCGGUGUAGUGGUGAAAUGCGUAGAGAUCGGGAGGAACACCUGUGGCGAAGGCGGCCCCCUGGGCCGGCCCUGACACUGAGACGCGAAGGCGUGGGGAGCGAACGGGG
rnacentral:rRNA from 1 species